AUUGAACGCUGGCGGCAUGCCUUACACAUGCAAGUCGAACGGUAACAGGUCUUCGGAUGCUGACGAGUGGCGAACGGGUGAGUAAUACAUCGGAACGUGCCUAGUAGUGGGGGAUAACUACUCGAAAGAGUGGCUAAUACCGCAUGAGAUCUAGGGCUGAAAGCAGGGGAUCGCAAGACCUUGUGCUACGAGAGCGGCCGAUGGCAGAUUAGGUAGUUGGUGGGAUAAAAGCUUACCAAGCCGACGAUCUGUAGCUGGUCUGAGAGGACGAUCAGCCACACUGGGACUGAGAAACGGCCCAGACUCCUACGGGAGGCAGCAGUGGGGAAUUUUGGACAAUGGGCGCAAGCCUGAUCCAGCAAUGCCGCGUGCAGGAUGAAGGCCUUCGGGUUGUAAACUGCUUUUGUACGGAACGAAAAGCCCCGGGUUAAUACCCUGGGGUCAUGACGGUACCGUAAGAAUAAGCACCGGCUAACUACGUGCCAGCCGCCGCAGUAA
rnacentral:rRNA from 1 species